AGGCUUAACACAUGCAAGUCGAGGGGCAGCACAGGUAGCAAUACCGGGUGGCGACCGGCGCACGGGUGAGUAACGCGUAUGCAACUUGCCUAUCAGAGGGGGAUAACCCGGCGAAAGUCGGACUAAUACCGCAUGAAGCAGGGAUCCCGCAUGGGAAUAUUUGCUAAAGAUUCAUCGCUGAUAGAUAGGCAUGCGUUCCAUUAGGCAGUUGGCGGGGUAACGGCCCACCAAACCGACGAUGGAUAGGGGUUCUGAGAGGAAGGUCCCCCACAUUGGUACUGAGACACGGACCAAACUCCUACGGGAGGCAGCAGUGAGGAAUAUUGGUCAAUGGGCGUAAGCCUGAACCAGCCAAGUCGCGUGAGGGAUGAAGGUUCUAUGGAUCGUAAACCUCUUUUAUAAGGGAAUAAAGUGCGGGACGUGUCCCGUUUUGUAUGUACCUUAUGAAUAAGGAUCGGCUAACUCCGUGCCAGCAGCCGCGGUAAUACGGAGGAUCCGAGCGUUAUCCGGAUUUAUUGGGUUUAAAGGGUGCGUAGGCGGCCUUUUAAGUCAGCGGUGAAAGUCUGUGGCUCAACCAUAGAAUUGCCGUUGAAACUGGGGGGCUUGAGUAUGUUUGAGGCAGGCGGAAUGCGUGGUGUAGCGGUGAAAUGCAUAGAUAUCGCGCAGAACCCCGAUCGCGAAGGCAGCCUGCCAAGCCAUUACUGACGCUGAUGCACGAAAGCGUGGGGAUCAAACAGGAUUAGAUACCCUGGUAGUCCACGCAGUAAACGAUGAUCACUAGCUGUUUGCGAUACACUGUAAGCGGCACAGCGAAAGCGUUAAGUGAUCCACCUGGGGAGUACGCCGGCAACGGUGAAACUCAAAGGAAUUGACGGGGGCCCGCACAAGCGGAGGAACAUGUGGUUUAAUUCGAUGAUACGCGAGGAACCUUACCCGGGUUUGAACGCAUUCGGGCCGAGGUGGAAACACCUUUUCUAGCAAUAGCCGUUUGCGAGGUGCUGCAUGGUUGUCGUCAGCUCGUGCCGUGAGGUGUCGGCUUAAGUGCCAUAACGAGCGCAACCCUUGCCACUAGUUACUAACAGGUAAAGCUGAGGACUCUGGUGGGACUGCCAGCGUAAGCUGCGAGGAAGGCGGGGAUGACGUCAAAUCAGCACGGCCCUUACAUCCGGGGCGACACACGUGUUACAAUGGCGUGGACAAAGGGAAGCCACCUGGCGACAGGGAGCGAAUCCCCAAACCACGUCUCAGUUCGGAUCGGAGUCUGCAACCCGACUCCGUGAAGCUGGAUUCGCUAGUAAUCGCGCAUCAGCCAUGGCGCGGUGAAUACGUUCCCGGGCCUUGUACACACCGCCCGUCAAGCCAUGGGAGCCGGGGGUACCUGAAGUCCGUAACCGCAAGGAUCGGCCUAGGGUAAAACUGGUGACUGGGGCU
rnacentral:rRNA from 1 species